AUGGCUCCUGCAUCUCCAGCAUCCAUCCAGCCCUUGGCAUGUGGAAGCUACUCAGUAGAUACUGGAUAUGGGUUUGGGGGGUGUCAGAU
rnacentral:miRNA from 1 species